AACGAACGCUGGCGGCAGGCCUAACACAUGCAAGUCGAACGGGAUCUUCGGAUCUAGUGGCGGACGGGUGAGUAACGCGUGGGAACGUGCCCUUUGGUUCGGAAUAGCCCCGGGAAACUGGGAGUAAUACCGGAUAAGCCCUACGGGGGAAAGACUUAUCGCCAAAGGAUCGGCCCGCGUUGGAUUAGGUAGUUGGUGAGGUAAUGGCUCACCAAGCCGACGAUCCAUAGCUGGUUUGAGAGGAUGAUCAGCCACACUGGGACUAAGACACGGCCCAGACUCCUACGGGAGGGAGCAGUGGGGAAUCUGAGACAAUGGGGGAAACCCUGAUCUAGCCAUGCCGCGUGAUCGAUGAAGGCCUUAGGGUUGUAAAGAUCUUUCAGUGGGGAAGAUAAUGACUGUACCCACAGAAGAAGCCCCGGCUAACUCCGUGCCAGCCGCCGCCGUAACAC
rnacentral:rRNA from 1 species